UACGAAGGGGGCUAGCGUUGUUCGGAAUUACUGGGCGUAAAGCGCACGUAGGCGGAUAUUUAAGUCAGGGGUGAAAUCCUGGAGCUCAACUCCAGAACUGCCUUGAUACUGAAGAUCUUGAGUUCGGGAGAGGUGAGUGGAACUGCGAGUGUAGAGGUGAAAUUCGUAGAUAUUCGCAAGAACACCAGUGGCGAAGGCGGCUCACUGGCCCGAUACUGACGCUGAGGCACGAAAGC
rnacentral:rRNA from 1 species